CUUUAGGUGUUGUAUGGCAUGUGCUCUUUUCGUGGGUAAGGUGGAUUCCUAAAGA
rnacentral:tRNA from 1 species